rnacentral:misc_RNA from 1 species
GUAGGUGAACCUGCGGAGGGAUCAUUACAGAGAAACUCGCCCGCAAGGGUGACUCUCCAACCCUAUGUUAAUUUAUACCUUUGUUGCUUUGGCGAGCCGCCUCGGCCACCGGCUUCACGCUGGUGAGUGCUCGCCGGAGGACCCUAAACUCUUGUUUAAUAAUGUCGUCUGAGUACUAUAUAAUAGUUAAAACUUUCAACAACGGAUCUCUUGGUUCUG